GACGAACGCUGGCGGCGUGCUUAACACAUGCAAGUCACGGGGGCCGCAAGGCGAACCGGCGAACGGGUGCGUAACACGUGAACAACCUGCCCUCGUGUGGGGGAGUAGCCAUGCUAACGCGUGGGUAAUACCGCAUACGUUCUUUUGGGGGUAGGUCCCUGGAAGAGGAAAGCUCCGGCGCACGGGGAGGGGUUCGCGGGCCUAUCAGCUAGUUGGCGGGGUAAUGGGCCCACC
rnacentral:rRNA from 1 species